GACGAACGCUGGCGGCGUGCUUAACACAUGCAAGUCGAACGGUGAAAGCGGAGCUUGCUCCGCUGGAUCAGUGGCGAACGGGUGAGUAACACGUGGGCAACCUGCCCCUCACUUCGGGAUAACUCCGGGAAACCGGGGCUAAUACCGGAUAUGACCUCCUUGGGCAUCCUUGGAGGUGGAAAGUUUUUCGGUGAGGGAUGGGCCCGCGGCCUAUCAGCUUGUGGGUGAGGUAGUGGCUCACCAAGGCGACGACGGGUAGCCGGCCUGAGAGGGCGACCGGCCACACUGGGACUGAGACACGGCCCAGACUCCUCCGGGAGGCAGCAGUGGGGAAUAUUGCGCAAUGGGCGAAAGCCUGACGCAGCAACGCCGCGUGCGGGAUGACGGCCUUCGGGUUGUAAACCGCUUUCAGCAGGGAAGAAGCCGCAAGGUGACGGUACCUGCAGAAGAAGCACCGGCUAACUACGUGCCAGCAGCCGCAGUAA
rnacentral:rRNA from 1 species